GGUUGUAUAGUGUAGCGGUUAUCACACCAGAUUCUGAUUCUCCAGUGUUCUGGUAACCCCGGUUCGAUUCCGGGUACGACCU